rnacentral:rRNA from 1 species
GAUGAACGCUAGCGGCAGGCCUAAUACAUGCGAGUCGGACGGGAUUUGGGAGCUUGCUCCCAAUGAGAGUGGCGCACGGGUGCGUAACACGUAUGUGACCUACCUUAAUCAGGGGGAUAGCCUCUCGAAAGAGAGAUUAACACCGCAUAACAUCAUGAGAUAGCAUUAUUUUAUGAUCAAAUAUUUAUAGGAUUAAGAUGGGCAUGCGGGACAUUAGCUAGUUGGCGGGGUAACGGCCCACCAAGGCGACGAUGUCUAGGGGAUCUGAGAGGAUGGCCCCCCACACUGGUACUGAGACACGGACCAGACUCCUACGGGAGGCAGCAGUAAGGAAUAUUGGUCAAUGGGCGCAAGCCUGAACCAGCCAUGCCGCGUGCAGGAAGACGGCCCUACGGGUUGUAAACUGCUUUUGUACCGGAAUAAACCUUGAUAUGUAUAUCAAGCUGAACGUACGGUAAGAAUAAGGAUCGGCUAACUCCGUGCCAGCCGCCGCCGUAAUAC